rnacentral:lncRNA from 10 species
UUUGAAAUUUAUCAGAAUCAAUCUGACAGCACUUAAGUGUAUACAUUUGGUAAUAUAAUGGACUUGCUGUAGAAGGAGACAUAUUAUAAUGCAUAAGAAACAAAAAAGAUAUGUAAGAUAUUAAAAGUAGCUUGCAUUAAGAAAGACAAGUAAGGGGAAUAAAUGACCCAAGUCUAGAAGUCUACAGGGAUAAUAAAAGAAGAUCUGAGCCUGCAAUUUGUCUAGGAGAACUUGGGAAUCUACAGUGGCCCAUAACCUCAGUUGUAAAGUGUUUAUUGGAUGGGAGGACAGGAGACAAAAUCUGAAGACUGAGAAUGCUGAGAGGUUAGAUUGAAGACAUCCACAUAAAAAUAGGGCCAUGGAAGGAUGACACACUAGAGAAAAAGUGCUAAAAUGGAUAGUUUCCUAUGUCAGCAUUGUCUAUGAAUGAAGAGAAAGAAAAAAAUAAGUUCCCCUUAAACACAUAUUCAUAUGGGUUUGAAGUUAUAAUUCAAACCCAUGUGAAAAAUUUAAACUUCAAAGAAGUAUCAUAGGCAAAAUUGCUAAAAUCGUGAACUCAUGAGAAAACAUACACACAAAAAGAAAUGAGAAAAUAAGCCUUCUUGAGCAAGAACAUACAAAAGCCACAAUGGCAUGAGAUAUGCAAUGACUGCAGAAAUUGAAGGCUACAGAACAUAAAAUGCAUAUGCUAAUAUCAUAAAAGAAUUGAAAGUUAAAUUAAGAGAUGUAUAAAAAAGUGUUACAUGUAACUAGGCAGAGUGUGCAUGUGUGUAUAUGUAUCUGUAAGCAUAUGCAGGCGUGCCUCAUUUUAUCGUGCUUUGCUCUAUCACACAUCACAGAUAUUGUAGUUUUUUUUUUUUAACAAAUUGAAGGUUUGCGGCAACCCUGCAUUGAGCAAAUCUAUUGGUGCCAUUUUUCUAACAGCAUGUACUCACUUCAUGUUUCUGUGUCACAUUUUGUUAAUUCUUGCAAUAUUUUAACCUUUUCAUUGUUAUAUUUGUUAUGGUGAUCUGUGAUCAGUGAUCUUUGACAGUAUUAUUGUCAUUGUCUUGGGGUGCCACACACUGAGCCCAUAAAAGAUGAAAAUUUUAAUUUAUAAAUGUGUGUGUUCUGAAUGUCCCAUUGAUCAGCCAUUCCCUUAUCUUUCUCCCUCUCCUCAGGUCUCCCUAUUCCCUGAGACACAACAAUAUUGAAAUUAGGCCAAUCAAUAAUCCUGCAAUGGCCUCUCAGUUUUCAAGUAAAAAGAGGAG